rnacentral:rRNA from 1 species
GACUACUGACGGCAGCAGUGAGGGAUAUUGGUCAAUGGGGGAAACCCUGAACCAGCAACGCCGCGUGAGGGAAGACGGUUUUCGGAUUGUAAACCUCUGUCCUCUGUGAAGAUAAUGACGGUAGCAGAGGAGGAAGCUCAGGCUAACUACGUGCCAGCAGCCGCGGUAAUACGUAGGGAGCAAGCGUUGUCCGGAUUUACUGGGUGUAAGGGGUGCGUAGGCGGCCCUGCAAGUCAGAAGUGAAAUCCAUGGGCUUAACCCGUGAACUGCUUUUGAAACUGUAGGGCUUGAGUGAAGUAGAGGCAGGCGGAAUUCCCGGUGUAGCGGUGAAAUGCGUAGAGAUCGGGAGGAACAACAGUGGCGAAGGCGGCCUGCUGGGCUUUAACUGACGCUGAAGCACGAAAGCGUGGGUAGCAAACAGGAUUAGAUACCCGGGUAGUC